GUCACAUGGCCAUUCACCACAAAGCUUAAGCUCCCGCCUCCUUCCUCUGCUCUAUGUACUGGAGGACUCAGGGAGACACCUCUUUCCCUGAAACUCCCUACCCCAUUCAUAAAGUGAAGGGCUAUUCUCAAAAAGCCAGGUCGAGUGCAGCCACAGGGACCUCCAGGCAGAACCAGAACUGAAAUGGUGCAAUGCCAAAGCUGGAAGGGAGCUUAGAACUCAGUUAGUGAGUGUCCUUUAGGCCUCCUGUUGUGGAUCUGAGAACUGAGGCUCGGAGAGGUUAAGACACGAGAGGCAUCCAGGCGUCCGUAAAUUCUAGGCUUCCCACUUUUCAGCAGAACAGAAAGCAUUUAAAGUGUACAGAAAGUCAAACCGGGCUAGAGGAGUUUAAAGGGACUCUGCAGAAGAUGCAACCUGAGCAUGGAGAGAAGGAACUAGUUGUGAUUGGAAAACAAAGCAUCGUCCGGGAGCAUCUCCCCACAAAGCUCGCAUCAGUUACAAAUGGAAAGUGGUGAUCGACUUUACGGUGGAGAAAUCUGGCCUGUCACCAAGGGCAACGGCACCACAGGUGGGACGAGUAGGCCGUGUGCUCCCGAGAUGGUGCUCCGGCAUCAUUCCUGAGGUACCCGGCCAAGAGUGCGCGGCCUGAGACUGGUCAGGGGGCAAGACUGGGCUGAGCCAGUCUGAGGGUCAACUACAGAACGAAGGGUCAUGCUCUUAAGAUUGUCGAGGACACAGAGGCAAAGAAAGGCUGAGUGACUUCCCUAUCGAGAUCCGAGGCGUGAUCCUGGAUUGAGUUUUGGACAGAAAGGAUAAGGUGACACUUGGGACUGUUGGUGGAAUUCAAAGCGGGUUUCUGGUUUGGACGGUAGUGUUGCAUCAAAGGCGAUCUCCUCAUGUGGAUGAUUGUGUUGUGGUUCUGUAGGAGAGUGUCUUUGUUUUGGGGAAAUGCUCACUGGACUAUACAGGAGUGGUGGCACCAGCUUUACAGCUUGCUCUCAAGUAGUUCAGAAGAGAAGUAAUGGAACGAGAGAGCGAGCGCACACACACAGAAGCAAACGGGGUAGAAUUGGGGGGUCUGGGUGAAGGGAUGUGGUGGUUCUUUGUACUGCUCUUGUGACUUUUCUGUAAGUGUGGAAUUAUGUCAAAAUUUAAAAAAAAGGAAACCAGAAACCAGAGAGCCUCGUCCCCCAACACUCCAGUCCCAACUAAACCAAGAAAGAGAAAAAAACACCCUCAGCCAGUUGUCUAGCGCCCUCAUGCUUGUCACUAGGAAGAUUUCCAGAGAGGAAUCUUUUAAAAGAGCCUUGUAUUUCUUAUACUUAAAUGAAUAAGAAUAUCUCUUACUUGUAUUACUUUAAGCUUCUUAUUAUUUCAAAAUUUCUCUUAUUUAAAGUCUCUGGAGGAGAAGUUUCUCUUGAAUAUUCUUAGAAUCAAGAGUACUGGGAAUUUUAUUCCCUUGAAUGUACCGUCCCUCAGGGUGUUUUUAAUAUUAACAUCCUCUGGGACCUGGGAGUGACACAUUGCCUAUUUCCUGAAGGUGAGCCUGCCCAACUCUUGUGCCAGCUCUCCGGGAGUGGUUGGAGGGCCCAGCACGGAUCAGACUGCCCGCGGGACUUGCGUUAAUGAGUCCUGAUCGCUGGGCUGCGGCAACGAAUCUCGAAUCUCCCAGGCUGUUAGGAUGCCAUUGACUAGCUGAACUGAAGGCGAAGCGGAAACAGUUGUUUUGAGGUGUAUUACGACUGAAUCAGGGCCAGUUUAACUUAACAAUCUCUUGCCUCUCAGACAUAGGGAUGUGUGUGUGUAUGUGUGUGCACGUGUGCACCAGCCUUUGCUUAUACCUGCACACGCACAUUCCAGUUGCUCAGAACAGGGACAUCCCCUCACUGCCGGUAUGCCCAGUAUCUGUCCCCCUCCUCUCUGUGCCCACCCUUUUGUGCUCCCUUCUGUGGUCCAAGGACCUGGGGGUUUGCAAAUGAUGUUGUCCGGAUUCGCUGUGGUUUCAGUUCCUGUCGGUGUCUGCCAAUGGCAGAUGCUGUCAGGUGACUGGAAGGAGACAGGAACGAAAAGCACUUUUUGUCCUAUUUUUUCUGAAAGUAGCGGUGGUAGCAACAGUAACAAAGUUUGCAACCUGCUCAGGCGGUGUGCUUACUACAACUGAGGCAGCAGUGGGCCUUUUGCAGACUCGGGAGGACGGCAUGGGGCCCGGCCUCCCUUGGAGUGUGGUGUAGGGGUUCCUGGCAGCCUCAGGGCAGCCCUCCUGGGUUCCGGGUAAUUCCAGUGUUCUCUUUCAGCCUCAGGAGGGGUAGCAGAUUCCUAAUGUUAUUUAUCUUGGGGUAAUCUUACUUUUUUCCUCUUUUCUCAGCCUUUCCAAUAAUUUGUGAUCUACUCCUUGUAUUAAAUUCCCUGUUUGAAACACCUAGAGCAGUUUCUCAUUCCGCAGGUUUUGCAGAAUAGAUGGAAAAUCCAGGUAGGCCUCUCAUCUGAUACCUCUAUGAUUACCAAACAGUUUGUAGCUGGGAGGGCAAGACAGUUCCGAGAGGAGCGUCCUGUUUUCCUGCUUGUUUCUGAUGAUAAGAACGUCACGUGGACAUAAAGCGGGUCUACAGCACAUGUCUGUAGUUUUUUCCUGUCCUUCUGACAUUUGAUGCAGUUAAACACUUUUCAUUUCUGUUGUCACCCUCAGUUGCUAUUUCCUUCCAGUCUCACAGCAGUGUUUCUUCACCGUUCACAACAUUAACAGGGCCUCCAUCAAACUUACUUUCUUUUUGAGCUCUUCCUUUGGUUUAUAAUUUGGGGUUCGAUCCAUUAUCUCUCCUUAACUUUGCUCUUUCACUGAUUUACUCAUUCUCUCAUAUUUAAACAUUUCAUGCAACCCCCCUUCUUCCCCUGGAAAAUUUACUGGGCAUUUACUAUCCCAGGCACUGGGCUGGAAUCUGGACACACAGGAGCCUUACAGACACAUUUGCUGCCCUCGUGAGCCCACCAUUUAGUGAGGCCGAUGGGCCAGUCCAUAGGCAGUUCGCACGUGGUGUGAGAGGUGCUACAACAGCGUGGGGCACUGGACCCUUGUCUACCAAAGGCGCUUCUUUGAUGUUCCCCCACUUCAGUGCGUGUGGGCCCCAUGAUCCACUGCACCUCACACUCAAGGAAGCCCUGAUCUGGGCUGAUGUGGACAAUAAUUCAACCAAUGAUUCAUGUGGCCAAAAUGAAAAUAAACAAAUAAAGUCUGAACACAAUGGUUUUUCAAACAGGCUGUGAGAGUCUGAGACUAACAGGCAACCCAAGAGCAGAGCUCUCAGCGGCCUCCCAGUGGCCGCGGUGGUUUGUGGAGCAGGACUGCCCACGCUCGUGCCCCAAACUGAGGGGACAGCAACUCACGUGUCCCGUUUUCCUCUAGGGCCCAGAACUGCUGGCACUGUUUAAGUGACUUCUGUCUCUCUUUAAAACCCUCUUUUUGGCCAAGCCCCAUUGGGUAGCUCAAAUGUGCAUCAACGAAAGUCCACUGAAUGUAACUGUUGAUGUUGCUCCCCAUUUCUUACUAUUUCUUGUACUGUAGGGUCUCACCACAUGCAUUUUUAACUCACUUGAAAUUAACUUUACUUGUGAGCCAACUGCUUCCCCUGUGCUCCGCACCCCCCAUAAUAUUCUUCCUCCCCAAAGAAGAGAGAGACAAAGAGGAAAGUAGUCCAGGGCGCAGGAGAUGGGGAUGAGCAUGCCUGGGGGAAUAUGGGCUAAGCUCUGUCCCUCUGCUGUGACCACACCUUCCGUCUAAGGAGGGACUAUGAGGAGGAAGCAGGUGGUCCAGGGAGUCCACUCUGCUGUGGUCCAGCGUGCUGACCCGUGCAGAGCUGGGGCCUCUGAACUCUGUCUUGGAGGCUCACGGGAGGCAGCUGAUUUCUACAUUGAGACAAGGAGUGUAGGAGCUCAUUAAGAAACGUCUAUUGGGGCUUGGACCAAUAAAUGUGGAAGGAGGAAGAGAGAAGAAUUUGUCUGCCUGGUCAUAUCUCCCAUUGGUCAAAGUGGGCUGCACAGAGCAUCAGGACCCCCACGCUUCCAAGUGGCUCUGUCUGGCGUCGCCCACAAAGGAAAGCCAGAUCCCCAAACAGCAGCAGAAGCAUCUGCAGCCUGAACCAGGGCACAUGGAGCCAGCGCAGCAACAGGGGAGCCCUGGGGCAGGAGGUGAGAGGCAUAUGGUGUGAGGCAUGAAGCAACAUGCUGUCGAGUUGUGCCUGCAAGCCACGUGAGGAACCGGGAACAUCUGCCACGAUGGACCCAGCCCAGCCAAGCAGGUUCAUCAUAACCCAGCAAGACUACGAAGAGCAGCUCCUCCCCACCUGGCGGCAUCCUGAACUGAAACCAGCCAGGCGCUUCCCCAGACCGGUGAGAACUGACCCCACCCAGGUUCCGCAGGCAGCCCAGCCUCAUGCUUCAUCGUGUGCAUCUUCCUCGUGCUCCAAGAAGGAGCCUGGCUCCGCUGUGUGUCUCAGCACCGUGAGACAAGGCCUUGGCCUUGAUGCUCUCACAACAGAAGCAUCCGCUCAUCCCCCAGACACGUCAUGGGGUGUGUCCAGCCCCAGGAGAGGAUUCUGCACUUGCUGGGUUUUCCUGCCAGAGGCGUGGUGGGAAUCGGAACAAGUUCAUGGCUGAGUAUUAAAAGGGUAUCCUGAGAGCACAGAAAAUGAAGACAGCUCUGUCACCAGCUUGUGGGUGACCCUGAGGAACAUGUGCAGGCUUCCGGUGUGGCUCCCUUAUUUAUUCCGGGAGAUGGCAGGUGGCAUGUUCCCAGCAGACAGGUGCUGGUGUCAGGAGCCCAGCACCUGUGUGCAUUAGACAGCAACGUUGGGUGGGGAAGAAGAGAGGUGGGUGGCAAGCCGAGGGACGCAGCCUUCCCUGCAUGCACAGGGGCGAGCUGAGCCCUGUGAAGGACUGGCCUGAGCGGGGACAUGUUCACAGAGGGAGCAAUUCUUGGUGAGGAGAGACAGUGAGGUCAUCCUCCUCCCAGGUGUGUCUUGGGAGAAGCGUGUCAGGGGGGAGUCGCAUGAUGAGGCCGCGGUUGAGUCAAUCUGCCUCGGAGAAGAGCUGGCAGCUGGGAGUAGGAGGGGAUGAGAGGUGAGGUGGCCGGAAGGGUCCUGAUAUGCAGGGAGGAGCUUUAUGGCCUAGUCUGGGCUGCCUAGAAUCCUCUGGUCACCUCUGCCCUUGUGCUAGCACGGCUGGCCACCUGGGCCAUUCCCUCACCUCAGCUCACUCAGCCUGCCCCACCCCUGGGCUGGAGGACACGCCUCAUUACAUAGUUUUCAGAUGGGUAAACUGAGGCAGGAGCCACUGCAGGCCCCGAGAGGAGGGGAAGAGAGCCAGGGAGCGACAACGCCCUGGUGAGGGUGAGGCACUCACAUCCGCCGCCCAGCCCUCCUUAGCCCUGUCAUGAGCAGUGUGCUCAGCUCCUGCCUCCCUCCUUCUCUGACCCUGACCCUUCCUGUUUCCCUGAGAGCCCUUGGCCCUCCCCGCCACCUCGCCCCCGGCCUGCACUGCCCGCGCUGCGACCACGUGCGGCGGCGCCUUGGUCCAGGGUCUUCCCUCUUCUCUGCUGCUCCUCGGUGGCUGCCCGCCGCAGGCGCGGGAGGAGGCAGGCGGCCGGUUCACCCGGAGGCCAGGGACUCCAGGCCACAGGGCACAGCCGAGCAUCCCCGCUGGGCAAGCCUCAGGAGCGGCUGGCGGCAGCAGGGGGCUGAAGGCCUGGUGGGGACAGGCAGCCCAGGCAGGAUGGAGCAGGCCCCAACUCCCAGCGAUGCCAAGGGCUCAGGGGCUUAGCGCUCGCUCUUGGGCUCGUGAACGGAAGCGGUGCUGCUCAUCCCCCAUCCUGCUAUCCCCAUCCCCCAUCCCCCAUCUCCCAUCUCCCAUCUCCCCAUCCGCCAUCCAAGUUCUUUGUCCUGUUUCAUUAGUUGAAUCAUGAGGCUUGACAGUACCGUAAAACUUGAAAUGUUCAAUUCUGCUUUUAAAAUGGAAAACUAAACAAAAACCAUUGUCCAGUGAGCUCCCAACCUAUCAGAGAGCAGAGCACUCGGUGGAGCCAGGGGCCUGGGCCACCAGCAGGCUGAGUGACCGUGGGCAGGUCACCUCAUCUCCCACCCCCUUGGGGUCCCUGGUUGUAAAUUGUUAGGAGUGGAUAUUUCUCCAAAGUUUCUCUGGUUUUCAGUAUUAUAAUGCUGAGUCUCAGAAACAUUGUUAGCAAGUAAUACAGUCAUAAAGCAAGUUACCACAAUAAUAACAAUAAAGUGUAACUACUCUGAUUUUUUAAAAUGCAAGUGUUUUAUUUUCAAAGGUGACUUGGAAAAUGCAGGAGUUAUCCCAAAGGGGAGGAACGUUUUCGUGUGGGACUGGUGUGGGGGCUGGGGCUGGUGUGGCGCACGCUCAGUAUUUCAGUUUCAGAUAGAGUUGGAAACUCGCUUCUCCCCAUUAAGCCCUGGAGGAAAUUAGUUACACUUCCUUGUGGAAGUGAAGAAGAGAUUCUCUGCGCCGUUCAAAAGGCCCUUUCACAAAGUUCUGGGACAAGCACUGCUGUGCGUGUGUGUGUGUGUGCGUGUGUGUAUGCGUGUGUGUGCGUGCAUGUGUGUGUGUGUGUGUGUGUGUGUAUGUGAGAGAGAGAGAGAGAGAAGGAGAG
rnacentral:lncRNA from 1 species